CUGAGAGGAGCUUGUCUCUCUCCUCAAGGCCUGUCCCUCCCACCUCCUCAAGCCAAUAACCCGGAUUUAAUUUUAAUUUAAUUAAAAAAAUUUAAAAAUUGGGGUUUUUGUCUCCGUUUGUUGCCGCCUCACUGAAGAGAGAUGAGCAGGGACCUGAGAGGCGGGCGGGGAUGUGCCCGGGGAAGAGGCCCUCAGAGCUGGCGGGGCCGAUGGCGAGGCGGAUGGCGAAGUGCAGAACAGAAGAUACAGUGCAAGAAAAUGCCUGAACCUGCAAGAUCUCGACUAGUUCAAGCAACGUUGGACCAGUUUAUUCCAUAUAAGGGCUGGAAACUUUAUUUCUCUGAAGCUUAUGUUGACAAGUCUCCUUUUGUCCAGAAGACUCAAGCCUUUGAAAAGUUUUUCAUGCAACGCAUUGAGCUUUAUGAUAAGGAUGAAAUAGAAAGAAAAGGAAGCAUUCUUGUGGAUUAUAAGGAACUAAUACAAGACAAAGAAUUGACUAAAUCGAUACCAAAUAUAUCUACUGAAUUAAGGGACAUGCCUCAGAAAAUACUGCACUGCAUGGGUCUGGCAAUUCAUCAGGUGCUAACGAAGGACCUGGAAAGGCACGCUGCAGAGCUGCAGGUGCAGGAAGGGUUACCACUUCAUGGAGAACCGAUCAUAAACGUGCCUCUCAUUCAUGCUAGGGUGUACAACUACGAGCCACUAACUCAGCUGAAGAACGUUCGGGCCAACUGCUUUGGGAAAUAUAUUGCCUUACGUGGUACGGUUGUGCGUGUCAGUAACAUCAAGCCCCUCUGCACUAAGCUGGCUUUUGUAUGUGGCACGUGUGGAGAUGUUCAGAGUGUGCCCCUACCUGAUGGAAAGUAUACUCUUCCAACUAAGUGCCUUGUCCCCGAGUGCCGUGGGCGGACCUUCACAGCGGACAGAAGCUCUCCUCUAACCACCACGGUGGACUGGCAGUCUGUUAAGGUGCAGGAGCUCAUGUCAGAUGAUCAGCGAGAAGCCGGCCGAAUCCCUCGCACUAUCGAAUGUGAACUGGUUCAAGAUCUUGUGGACAGCUGUGUCCCAGGAGAUAUGGUCACCGUUACAGGGAUAGUUAAGGUGUGGAGCACUGAGGAAGGAGCUUCUAAAAAUAAGAAUGACAAGUGUAUGUUCUUGUUGUAUAUUGAGGCAAAUUCUGUCAGCAACAGUAAAGGACAAAAACUGAAGAAUUUCGAUGAUGAGACUUUUCAAAGGUCGUUCAUGGAGUUUUCCCUUAAAGACCUCUAUGCUGUUCAAGAAAUUCAAGCUGAGGAAAAUCUGUUCAGGCUCAUCGUGAACUCUCUGUGUCCUGCAAUCUACGGCCAUGAGAUUGUAAAGGCAGGGUUGGCCCUGGCGUUAUUUGGAGGAUGUCAGAAGUUUGUAGAUGACAAGAACAGAAUCCCUGUGCGAGGAGAUCCACACGUUCUGGUCGUCGGAGAUCCAGGAUUAGGAAAAAGCCAAAUGUUGCAAGCAGUAUGUAAUGUUGCUCCUCGAGGUGUAUACGUUUGUGGUAAUACUUCCACCAGCUCUGGCCUGACUGUUACACUGUCUAGAGAUGGGGCUUCUGGAGAUUUUGCCUUGGAAGCUGGUGCUUUAGUGCUUGGAGAUCAAGGAAUUUGUGGAAUAGAUGAAUUUGAUAAGAUGGGAAACCAGCAUCAGGCUUUGUUGGAAGCCAUGGAGCAGCAAAGCAUCAGCCUUGCCAAGGCUGGCAUUGUUUGCAGUUUGCCAGCUCGGACGUCUAUUGUUGCUGCAGCAAACCCAGUUGGAGGACAUUAUAACAAAGCUAAAACAGUGUCGGAGAACUUAAAAAUGGGGAGUGCUUUGCUGUCGAGAUUCGAUCUCGUUUUCAUUCUGCUGGACACCCCAAAUGAAGACCAUGACCACUUGCUGUCCGAGCACGUGAUGGCCAUCCGAGCGGGCAGGCAGGCAGCGUGCAGCAGCGCCGUUGUGGCUCGGACCAACACGCAGGAUCGCUCUGUUCUUGAAGUUGUUUCAGAUCGACCACUGCUCGAAAGGCUGAAGAUCUUACCAGGAGAAAACUUUGAUGCCAUUCCACACCAGCUGCUGAGGAAGUAUGUCGGAUAUGCUCGGCAGUACGUUCACCCAAAUUUAUCUCCAGAAGCUGCCCAGGUCCUGCAGGAAUUCUACCUGGAGCUGCGGAAGCAGAACCAGGGAGCAGACAGCACACCCAUCACCACGAGGCAGCUGGAGUCACUCAUUCGACUCACGGAGGCACGAACAAGGCUGGAAUUAAGGGAGAAAUCUACCAAGGAAGAUGCUGAGGAUGUAAUAGAAAUAAUGAAAUACAGCAUGCUGGGAACCUACUCGGAUGAGUUUGGAAAACUGGACUUUGAACGUUCACAGCACGGGUCUGGGAUGAGCAAUCGGUCACAAGCGAAACGGUUCAUUUCUGCCCUUAACAGCAUCGCGGAGAGAACGUACAACAAUCUCUUUGACUCCCAACAGCUUCGGCAGAUCGCGAAGGAGCUACAAAUACGAGUAUCCGAUUUUGAAAGCUUUAUUGGAUCCCUAAACGACCAGGGUUAUCUUUUGAAAAAAGGGUCACGAGUUUAUCAGCUUCAGACUAUGUGAGAAGAGCCGCUGUGAUGGACCUCCCUGGGAGGUGGUGGUUCCACCUGCAGUGGCCUGAUGGAGCUGGGGCAGGAACAGGCGCUGAACCACAGCCUGCUGGCACCAUCGCCGCCCUGGCUGAGAGAUGCCCUCCCAGAAAGGUAGCCACGGGCUCGCUUUAAGUUGCCCCAGGUGAUCUGUGGUAUGGCUGCUUGACUCAUCCUAGAGAUGGUGGUGACCCAAACCUGCUGGUCUCUGCACCCUCCGUAAGACCAGCAGGUACCUCAGCACCCCUGGGGGUGGGAGGUGUCGGUUUCACACCGACACUACCGCAGUACCAGAAGGGAUUGUACUUCCACUUACUGGUGUUGGACCCACAAAUCUAAACCCAGACACCUUUCUUGAGAAGAUGGGGAGUUGCGUUUUUAGCACUGUAGUUAAUUUGAGCAAUUUAAAGCAUAUAGAAAUGUUUCCAAAAAAGUUGGGAACCUUCAGGUUGAGACAACACAGUUUUUGUAGCUGUAAGAAGCGACGCCUUAUUGACACUGACUUGAUUUUCUGCUUUGUAACUCUGUACUUAUUGGUCUUUGUAGCUGAGGUUGUAUUUGAAAUGCAAGUCAGAUUUAAGAAAAUAUCCUUAUUAUAAUAUUUAAUUUGUAAAGCAAGAAUUGGAUUUUAUUUAUGUCUUUCAUUAAACUUUAUUCAUGAGAAAUCUGUGAGUUGCUCAGGAGCAAGUAACAGCCCUUACAAGGCACAGAACAUGAACGUGUCACCCGUGUCUCUGUGUAACGCUCUUCCUGCCACAGAAGGUGGUGUGUUCUGCAAGAGUAAAGUGUGAAUUAUUUCCUGACUUUUAUGAAACCAGAAUCAUGGUCUAGUGCAAUAAAACGGCCAAGGAGAAGCUUUCUGGUGGACAUCCCCAGAGCCCUCGGAGCUCUCCUGGACGGCAGCGGCUGCACGCCAGGAUCUCCCCUUUGGUGAGGACGCUCGCUUAAGGAUCUACUCCUCCAGGGUGAGAGACUCCUUGCUGCAACAGAUUCUGGCUUUACAGGUUUGAAAGAACAUAGCGAACUGCUUGAUGCUACCUCAGUGUGAAACUACUUCAAAAUACUUGACGUUGAAAGCCAGUUUGACAGAUGAGAUGCUUAAGACAAAGCUAAGAAAUUACAGCUCUACAUAUGAACUCUUCAGUGGCAGGUGCUCUGCUCCCUUCAUGUUUUCUUUGCUCAUUAAGGUAAUGCUGGUUAAUGGCUUUUUUUGAUGUUUGAAGGGCAUGGGCGUGCAGUGCUCGUGGAUGCAUGGUGUUGGUUUGGUUGGAAAAGACCUUUAUGAUCAUCGAGUCCGACUGUUAACCCAGCACUGCCAAGUUACCAUUAACCCAACCCUGCCAAGGCCACCACUAACCCGUGUCCCUCAGUACCACCUCUACCUGUCUCUACCUCCAGGGAUGGCGACUCCACCGCUUCCCUGGGCAGCCUCUUCCAAGCCCUGAUAACUCUCUCAGUAAAGAAAUUUCUCCUAA